CCUACGGGUGGCAGCAGUGGGGAAUAUUGCGCAAUGGGCGAAAGCCUGACGCAGCGACGCCGCGUGAGGGAUGAAGGUCUUCGGAUCGUAAACCUCUGUCAGCAGGGAAGAAAGGUCACUGUGCUACUCAGCAGUGAAUUGACGGUAACUGCAAAGGAAGCACCGGCUAACUCCGUGCCAGCCGCCGCGGUACUACGGAGGAUCCGUGCGUUAUCCGGAUUUAUUGGGGUUAAAGGGAGCGUAGAUGGGUUGUUAAGUCAGUUGUGAAAGUUUGCGGGUCAACCGUAGAAUGGCAAUUGGUACUGGCAGCCUUGAGUACAGUGGAGGUAGGCGGAAUUCGUGGUGUAGCGGUGAAAUGCUUAGAUAUCGCGAAGAACUCCGAUUGCGAAGGCAGCCUACUAAACUGCCACUGACGUUGAGGCUCGAAAGUGUGGGUAGCAAACAGGAUUAGAUACCCCUGUAGUC
rnacentral:rRNA from 1 species